AGAGUUUGAUCAUGGCUCAGAACUAACGCUGGCGGCGUGCCUAACACAUGCAAGUCGUACGAGAAAGUUGGCUUCGGCCGAUGAGUAAAGUGGCGCACGGGUGAGUAACGCGUGGAUAAUCUACCCCUCAGUUGGGAAUAACUCAUCGAAAGGUGGGCUAAUACCGAAUAAUACUGCAUGACUUCUGUUGUGUAGUCAAAGAUGGCCUCUGCUUGCAAGCUAUCGCUGAAGGAUGAGUCCGCGUACCAUUAGCUAGUUGGUAGGGUAAUGGCCUACCAAGGCAACGAUGGUUAGCUGGUCUGAGAGGAUGAUCAGCCACACUGGAACUGAGACACGGUCCAGACUCCUACGGGAGGCGGCAGUGAGGAAUAUUGCGCAAUGGGGGCAACCCUGACGCAGCAACGCCGCGUGAGUGAGGAAGGUUUUCGGACCGUAAAGCUCUGUCGAGCGGGAAGAAAUGCAUAGUGGCUAAUAUCCAUUAUGCUUGACGGUACCGCUAAAGGAAGCACCGGCUAACUCCGUGCCAGCAGCCGCGGUAAUACGGGGGGUGCUAGCGUUGUUCGGAAUCAUUGGGCGUAAAGAGCGUGUAGGCGGCUGGAUAAGUCAGAUGUGAAAGCCCUGGGCUUAACCCAGGAAGUGCAUUUGAAACUGUUCAGCUUGAGUAAGGGAGAGGAAAGUGGAAUUCCUGGUGUAGAGGUGAAAUUCGUAGAUAUCAGGAGGAACACCGGUGGCGAAGGCGACUUUCUGGCCCUAUACUGACGCUGAGACGCGAGAGCGUGGGUAGCAAACAGGAUUAGAUACCCUGGUAGUCCACGCUGUAAACGAUGUUCACUAGGUGUUGGGGGUAUUGACCCUCUCAGUGCCGCAGCUAACGCAUUAAGUGAACCGCCUGGAGAGUACGGUCGCAAGAUUAAAACUCAAAGGAAUUGACGG
rnacentral:rRNA from 1 species